rnacentral:rRNA from 1 species
ACGAACGCUGGCGGCAGGCUUAACACAUGCAAGUCGAACGGUUGUAGCAAUACAGCAGUGGCAGACGGGUGAGUAACACGUGGGAACCUUCCUAGGGGUACGGAACAACUCAGGGAAACUUGAGCUAAUACCGUAUACGUCCGUGAGGAGAAAGAUUUAUCGCCAUUGGAGGAACCCGCGUCCGAUUAGCUAGUUGGUGAGGUAAUGGCUCACCAAGGCGACGAUCGGUAGCUGGUCUGAGAGGACGAUCAGCCACACUGGGACUGAGACACGGCCCAGACUCCUACGGGAGGCAGCAGUGGGGAAUAUUGGACAAUGGGGGCAACCCUGAUCCAGCCAUGCCGCGUGAGUGAUGAAGGCCUUCGGGUUGUAAAGCUCUUUUGGCGGGGACGAUGAUGACGGUACCCGCAGAAUAAGCCCCGGCUAACUUCGU